AACGAACGCUGGCGGCAUGCCUAAUACAUGCAAGUCGAACGAAGGCUUCGGCCUUAGUGGCGCACGGGUGCGUAACGCGUGGGAAUCUACCCUUGGGUUCGGAAUAACAGUUAGAAAUGACUGCUAAUACCGGAUGAUGACGUAAGUCCAAAGAUUUAUCGCCCAAGGAUGAGCCCGCGUAAGAUUAGCUAGUUGGUGAGGUAAAGGCUCACCAAGGCUACGAUCUUUAGCUGGUCUGAGAGGAUGAUCAGCCACACUGGGACUGAGACACGGCCCAGACUCCUACGGGAGGCAGCAGUAGGGAAUAUUGGACAAUGGGCGAAAGCCUGAUCCAGCAAUGCCGCGUGAGUGAUGAAGGCCU
rnacentral:rRNA from 1 species